rnacentral:rRNA from 1 species
AUCGAACGCUGGCGGCAGGCUUAACACAUGCAAGUCGAGCGAGCGGAGGACGGGUGAGUAAUGGAUGGGAAACUGCCUGAUGGAGGGGGCUAAGUACUGGAAACGGUAGCUAAUACUGCAAAACAUCAGUUGUGCCCAGAGGGGAUUAGCUAGUAGGUGGGGUAAUGGUUCACCUAGGAGACGAUCCCUAGCUGGUCUGAGAGGCUGACCAGCCACACUGGAACUUAGACACGGUCCAGACGCCUACGGGAGGCAGCAGUGGGGAAUAUUGCACAAGGGGCGCAAGCCUGAUGCAGCCAUGCCGCGUGUGUGAAGAAGGCCUUCGGGUUGUAAAGCACUUUCAGCGAGGAGGCGGUACUCGCAGAAGAAGCACCGGCUAACUCCGUGCCAGCAGCCGCGGUAAUUC